CGAACUGCCAGCCUGCGCCUUUGCAGCCGGCCCUCGCUUUGCUGAAGACGAGCAGCUCCCACCAAAGUCUUGCCUCCCUCUAUCCCGAAAGCCCCGCUCAGGUCAAAGAGCCUAAAAGAAAAGCCCGGAGCCAUACACUCACCUGGUUGAAGCCAUAAAGAGUUCAAUAUUUCAAGUGAAAAUUUGCUUGUUCAAAAAGAAAAUAUUCACAAAUGAGCAGUGUAUUAGAAGACAACUGAAUUGCCUCUAAGAAUGGGUCUCACUCUGCCAUCGCCCAGGCUGGAGUGUGGUGGCACCAUCAUGGCUCACUGCAGCCUUGAACUCCUGAGCUCAAGUAAUCCUCCCACCUCAGCCUUCUGAGUAGCUGGAACUGCAGGUGUGAGCCACCAUGCCUGGCUGAUUUGUCUUUUUAAAUUUUUUUAUAGAGACCGAGUCUCAACUAUAUUGCCCAGGCUGGAAAAGAACUUCUUUCCCUCCAAGUGAUAACCUUUUCCAGACAAGUCAGCUUAAAAACUGACCCAAAG
rnacentral:lncRNA from 1 species